UUUCCAGGAGAAUAUCAUAAUAAUAUAGACAAAAGGAAGGAUGUGGGGAAAGCAACAAAUGCGGCAAAAUAUGUCAUAUACAAAACAAAAUGGUUAUGGAGUAAACAUUCGUGUGACAACAACUCAGACGAUACAUAAAAAAUCAGAAUAAUGAAGAAAAAGUUGGUUUCCCUAUAUACGUGUACCUGCAGUGUUGGUGUACGAGGCGCGUUUAUGAUUUUCAUUAUGUUACUUGAUAUGAAAAAUUGACAAAAAAUAAUAUUUUACUUGUAAAAGUAAAUCCCGAGCCUAUAAUAGCUGCUCUUCUUGUUCCAUUUGAAUUAAUAGAAACAACGCUGUCGCCUUUCUUGUUCUCAUAGAAUCAUAUAAUAUGAGCUCCAUGUUUUG
rnacentral:lncRNA from 1 species